rnacentral:rRNA from 1 species
GCACGGGUGCGUAACGCGUAUGCAACCUACCUUUAACAGGGGGAUAACACUGAGAAAUUGGUACUAAUACCCCAUAAUAUCAUAGAAGGCAUCUUUUAUGGUUGAAAAUUCCGAUGGUUAGAGAUGGGCAUGCGUUGUAUUAGCUAGUUGGUGGGGUAACGGCUCACCAAGGCGACGAUACAUAGGGGGACUGAGAGGUUAACCCCCCACACUGGUACUGAGACACGGACCAGACUCCUACGGGAGGCAGCAGUGAGGAAUAUUGGUCAAUGGACGCAAGUCUGAACCAGCCAUGCCGCGUGCAGGAUGACGGCUCUAUGAGUUGUAAACUGCUUUUGUACGAGGGUAAACGCAGAUACGUGUAUCUGUCUGAAAGUAUCGUACGAAUAAGGAUCGGCUAACUCCGUGCCAGCAGCCGCGGUAAUACGGAGGAUUCAAGCGUUAUCCGGAUUUAUUGGGUUUAAAGGGUGCGUAGGCGGUUUGAUAAGUUAGAGGUGAAAUUUCGGGGCUCAACCCUGAACGUGCCUCUAAUACUGUUGAGCUAGAGAGUAGUUGCGGUAGGCGGAAUGUAUGGUGUAGCGGUGAAAUGCUUAGAGAUCAUACAGAACACCGAUUGCGAAGGCAGCUUACCAAACUAUAUCUGACGUUGAGGCACGAAAGCGUGGGGAGCAAACAGGAUUAGAUACCCUGGUAGUCCACGCAGUAAACGAUGAUAACUCGUUGUCGGCGAUACACAGUCGGUGACUAAGCGAAAGCGAUAAGUUAUCCACCUGGGGAGUACGUUCGCAAGAAUGAAACUCAAAGGAAUUGACGGGGGCCCGCACAAGCGGAGGAACAUGUG